rfam:Ictidomys tridecemlineatus contig055245, whole genome shotgun sequence.
GGGGCUGUGGCUCAGUGGUAGAGCGCUUGCCUAGCACGUGUGAGGUACUGGUUCGAUCCUCAGCACCA